rnacentral:rRNA from 1 species
GACGAACGCUGGCGGCGUGCCUAACACAUGCAAGUCGAACGCUAAGGGCGGAGCUUGCUUCUCUGGAUGAGUUGCGAACGGGUGAGUAGCGCGUAAGUAACCUGCCUGGUAGCGGGGGAUCACUAUUGGUAAUGCUAGCUCAUACCGCAUAAUAGUAGUUGUUGCAUGAGGUUUGCUAAAUAGGUGCGAUUGCGUUGCUACCAGAUGCUAUUGCGUUGUAUUAGCUGGUUGGGGGGGUAACGGCUCACCAAGGUGGCGAUACAGAGACGACCUGAGAGGGUGAUCGGCCACACUGGGACGGAGACACGGCCCAGACGCCUACGGGAGGCAGCAGGAGGGAAUCUUCGGCAAUGGACGGAAGUCUGACCGAGCAACGCCGCGUGAGUGAAGAAGGUUUUCGGAUCGUAAAGCUCUGUUGUAAGAGAAGAACGAGUGUGAGAGUGGAAAGUGCACACUGUGACGGUAUCUUACCAGAAAGGGACGGCUAACUACGUG